UGUUCUUGUUUCAUCUCUCGUUCCUGUUUUCUUUCUCUCUUUCUUUACUGCGCGCAUUUCGUGUAGAGUCUUACUAAUAUUGUAAAUGUGGAUGGCCAAAUCAUUUUCUGGGAGGAACCUUUUGAGUGGGUCUCUUUCUCUGACGAGAAUAAGGCCCUUUGCAGGAUGAGUAGUGAUAUUCAAGACGCCCAAUUUCCUUCACAGAAGGACCCCACCGUUCAGUGUGUUGUGUCUGUGAAGUGUAUAAUCAACUUUCUAUGUAAUUUGGAGCCAGUGAGGGACACCGUGUAGUGGCUUGAAAUUAAAAUGUUGUAUGAUUGAAUUGUAAUCGAUGCUGGGCAGUAUCAUAAAGAACUGAAGAUCAGGGUGUGAUAUCUGAUCAUCUGUAAAUCACUUGGGAUUCUCUUAUUAUAGUGCUUGUGGAUUUUUCUUUGGUGAUAA